rnacentral:lncRNA from 1 species
UUGGGCAUUCUCAUCAACUGGAGCCAUGGAAGGAAUCAAUGCCUUAGUUACUGGAGACCUAAUUAGCCUUUCAGAACAAGAACUUGUAGAUUGUGAUACCAGCAACUAUGGGUGUGAAGGAGGAUACAUGGACUAUGCUUUCGAAUGGGUUAUAAACAAUGGCGGGAUCGAUAGCGAAAGCGACUACCCCUACACUGGUGUGGAUGGCACAUGUAACACCACCAAGGUCUGAUUCAUUUUUGUUUCAGUAGUUCAACCAGUUCUUCCUCUAAUUCUAAUGUAUUUGUCUUUAAUCAGGAGGAAACCAAGGUUGUAUCUAUUGAUGGCUAUCAAGAUGUAGAGCAAUCAGAUAGUGCUCUUUUAUGUGCCGUUGCUCAGCAACCUGUUAGUGUGGGAAUUGAUGGUUCCGCCAUUGAUUUUCAACUUUACACUGGUGUAAGUAUUUGUUUGGAACCUGGAAACUUUUUGUUUAAAACGAAAUUUUUGGGGUAAUGAAAUUCGUAUGGCAUGAUGCAUGAAUAGGGAAUUUAUGAUGGGAGCUGCUCGGAUGAUCCAGAUGACAUUGAUCAUGCUGUUUUAAUAGUUGGUUAUGGUUCAGAAGACAGUGAAGAGUAUUGGAUAGUGAAGAAUUCAUGGGGAACAAGUUGGGGGAUAGAUGGAUAUUUCUAUCUAAAAAGAGACACUGAUUUACCAUAUGGUGUUUGUGCUGUCAAUGCCAUGGCUUCUUAUCCAACUAAACAAUCCUCUUCACCAUCCCCUUAUCCAUCGCCAAGUGUUCCUCCACCGCCACCUCCUUCAACUCCACCACCACCACCACCUCCAUCUCCUUCACCAAGUGAUUGUGGAGACUUUUCCUAUUGUUCAAGUGAUGAGACAUGCUGUUGCCUUUUUGAAUUCUAUGAUUAUUGCCUAAUAUACGGCUGCUGUGAAUAU